rnacentral:rRNA from 1 species
GAUGAACGCUGGCGGCGUGCUUAACACAUGCAAGUCGAACGAUGAAGCCCAGCUUGCUGGGUGGAUUAGUGGCGAACGGGUGAGUAACACGUGAGUAACCUGCCCUUGACACUGGGAUAAGCGCUGGAAACGGCGGCUAAUACCGGAUACGAGCUUCCACCGCAUGGUGAGUUGCUGGAAAGAAUUUCGGUCAAGGAUGGACUCGCGGCCUAUCAGGUAGUUGGUGAGGGAACGGCUCACCAAGCCGACGACGGGUAGCCGGCCUGAGAGGGUGACCGGCCACACUGGGACUGAGACACGGCCCAGACUCCUACGGGAGGCAGCAGUGGGGAAUAUUGCACAAUGGGCGCAAGCCUGAUGCAGCAACGCCGCGUGAGGGACGAAGGCCUUCGGGUCGUAAACCUCUUUUAGCAGGGAAGAAGCGAAAGUGACGGUACCUGCAGAAAAAGCACCGGCUAACUACGUG